UACGUAGGGGGCAAGCGUUGUCCGGAAUCAUUGGGCGUAAAGCGCGUGUAGGCGGCCAGGUAAGUCCGUUCUGAAAGCCCGGGGCUCAACCCCGGGAGGCGGAUGGAUACUGCUUGGCUCGAGUCCGGAAGAGGCGAGUGGAAUUCCCGGUGUAGCGGUGAAAUGCGCAGAUAUCGGGAGGAACACCAAUGGCGAAGGCAGGUCUCUGGGCAUUAACUGACGCUGAGGAGCGAAAGCAUGGGGAGCGAACAGG
rnacentral:rRNA from 1 species